rnacentral:lncRNA from 1 species
CUGGUUCUUCCCUACUGGCUAUGUGGACUAACUGAAUUGCUUACCACCCUUUUCCACGAAUACCCCAACACCAGUGGAGAUGAAAUGGCCACUUUCUAUAAAGGCCUUAAUAAGUCUGCAGUGCUGGGUGUGGGUAAUCUUGACUCCCCUAUUCCCCACCAUAAAAAGAGUAAGUAAUUACUAAGCGGGCCAUCUUAAGAAUUUAAGAAAUGGGCCGGGCGCAGUGGCUGUCUUCUUUUGACAAAUGAGAAACCUAAUAUUCUACAAGAUUGAGUGAUGUGGCAGAGACAAGAAGUGAACCACCCCUCCCCUCUCCAUCUGGGCUUUUGCUGGUGGAUGCUUCCCAGUCUUUAUGUAAAGUACUUUAAACUAAAUAUUGGGCUGCUCCCUAAUGGUGUCUCCAAAUGUCAAAAGAUGAAGAUGAAUGAAAGUUUGUGAAUGCAGGCAUCUUUGAUAUCAAAUUAAGGUGAGACUGAAGCUGGUUUCCCUCAGAGAGGACACAUGUCGAACUCAAGAAGGCUUACCGGAAGCUCGAGCUUGCAGCACCACACCAGCUCAUGACCAUCUCUGCCACCAACUGUAAGCACAUGCACCAAGCUUUAUGAACACCUGAGAGAACACAGUGCCCUUCACGACCCAGCAGCCAGCCCUCCAAAAAAGUAUGGCUAUUUUUUCUUUUCCAGAUAGACCUAAGGGUCAAAGAAUUCUACACGUGGUCUAAAAUGAAUGACGUGUGAAACACCCAGCCCGCCAGAGAAGCAUCUUGCUGCAGCUCCCCAGCAAGACUGCCUGUCAACUGAGCAGACCGCUCCAUUAACACAAGGCGGCUCAGAUUCAGCAUCACAUGACCUUCUUCUGUGAGCAAGCCAGGAAUUCAGUCUGGAGAAACACUAAGAAGUUAAACCAAGAAAGUUAUUAGAGAGCAACUCUUGGGAAGCUGGGACAGUUAAUUUGAGAGAAGCAGGGUGUCAGAGUCUGACCUCAGCCUCGUUCUGUGAAUUUAGGAGAGUCUUCAAUGAAGUGACAGUCACAGUUAAGUUUUAAAGUAAAAAA